rnacentral:rRNA from 1 species
GACGAACGCUGGCGGCGUGCUUAACACAUGCAAGUCGAACGGUAAGGCCCUUCGGGGUACACGAGUGGCGAACGGGUGAGUAACACGUGGGUGAUCUGCCCUGCACUUCGGGAUAAGCCUGGAAAACUGGGUCUAAUACCGGAUAGGACCACUGCCUGCAUGGGUGGUGGUGGAAAGCUUUUGCGGUGUGGGAUGGGCCCGCGGCCUAUCAGCUUGUUGGUGGGGUGGUGGCCUACCAAGGCGACGACGGGUAGCCGGCCUGAGAGGGUGACCGGCCACACUGGGACUGAGAUACGGCCCAGACUCCUACGGGAGGCAGCAGUGGGGAAUAUUGCACAAUGGGCGCAAGCCUGAUGCAGCGACGCCGCGUGAGGGAUAACGGCCUUCGGGUUGUAAACCUCUUUCAGCACCGACGAAGCGCAAGUGACGGUAGGUGCAGAAGAAGGACCGGCCAACUACGUGCCAGCCGCCGCGGUAA